UGGGUACAUAAUACGCAUGCUGCUUUGAAGAGCAGCAGCGCCAUUUUUCAAUUGGCUGUGCGGUGGCGUUUGUUUUUGUAAAAUAAAUAUUUUUCUUUCCUGUAACUAUUUGUAAAUGGGCAAUAAUAUUAAACACAUCUCUCAAGAAUGAUUACUGCAUACAACAUCCGAAUAUGGCUGUGGCGCAGACAAUUUCGGGAGCCGAUGUCCAAUGUGGAAGGUUGGAAUUGGAUAGGAAGAAUAUCAGGGAAGCGUCCUGUAAAAUAUUGGCUGUAUGGUCCAUUGAAUGAUCUCCAAUAAAGCAUUACAUGAUACUAAAUAAUAAAUAUUGAUUGUUUCAUUUACAUUAGUUUGAGAUUGUUUUAAAUUAAUUUUGUGAAAAAAUCAACUUGAAUGCAGAGCGAAAUGAAUGAAAAAAAGAGGGUUUUUUACCCAUUAUUGUGAAACCAAUCAAGAGUGAAAUAUACCCAUGUUUUGAAGUUUCGGCCGAAUACUCUUUAAAGAGUAAAUGGGCCGUACCCAUUUAAUGAGUUAAGCCACUUUAGUUGGAAAUGGGUACGAAAGUACCCAUUAAUGGGUACUUCCGGGUUAGCGUGUA
rnacentral:lncRNA from 1 species